CUUUGGUACUGCUAAGUGAUUCGCCAGGCCAUCCAGAGGAAAUCACAUGUAGGCCAGGUCAGACAGCUGUGGACGCCCAGUCAUUGAGUUUGCUUAAAACAGAGAUCACUCAUUUGUCGAAAUUACAGAUGCCAAGUGAUGUGGAGACAAUGCAGAAAAGUGAUAUUCAGAACCUACCUCUGUGCGGGUCGUUGGUCAUCUACCUCAUGCCGCCUUAAGGAGAAUCAAAACCUGUUAUGGAGAAAGUGAUGGAAUACUUGGAAAAUAUUCAAUUACUUGGAGAGAGCUAACAUGGAUUUGUGAAACGUGGGGUUUGCCUCACUGAGUGAAUUUUCAUCUGAGUGAAUUUUCUGAAGCUGUGAAUGAAGCAGUAGAUAAUGGAACGUCUCCGGAUGUUACGUAUAAGGAUUUUCAGAAUGCAUUUAAUAGAUUUCUUUAUAAGUGUUAUGCCUCACUGAUGAAGCAUGCCAAAAUGAAAUCUCACUAUACUCGGAGCCAUCACAAAAGUUAAAGUUUUUGCAAAGGAAUCAGAAUA